GUCGAGGGGUAACAGGAGUAGCUUGCUAUUUGCUGACGACCGGCGCACGGGUGCGUAACGCGUAUAGAAUCUACCUUAUACUGGGGGAUAGCCUUUGGAAACGAAGAUUAAUACCCCAUAGUAUUAUUUUUUGGCAUCAUUAAAUAAUUAAAGUUUCGGCGGUAUAAGAUGACUAUGCGUUCUAUUAGUUAGUUGGUAAGGUAACGGCUUACCAAGACUUCGAUAGAUAGGGGUCCUGAGAGGGAGAUCCCCCACACUGGUACUGAGACACGGACCAGACUCCUACGGGAGGCAGCAGUGAGGAAUAUUGGACAAUGGAGGCAACUCUGAUCCAGCCAUGCCGCGUGUAGGAAGACUGCCCUAUGGGUUGUAAACUACUUUUAUAUGGGAAGAAUAAGAUCUACGUGUAGAUUGAUGACGGUACCAUAAGAAUAAGCACCGGCUAACUCCGUGCCAGCAGCCGCGGUAAUACGGAGGGUGCAAGCGUUAUCCGGAAUCAUUGGGUUUAAAGGGUCCGUAGGCGGGCAUAUAAGUCAGUGGUGAAAGUCUGUGGCUNAACCAUAGAAUUGCCAUUGAUACUGUAUGUCUUGAAUUAUUGUGAAGUGGUUAGAAUAUGUAGUGUAGCGGUGAAAUGCUUAGAGAUUACAUAGAAUACCGAUUGCGAAGGCAGAUCACUAACAAUAUAUUGACGCUGAUGGACGAAAGCGUAGGUAGCGAACAGGAUUAGAUACCCUGGUAGUCUACGCCGUAAACGAUGGAUACUAGUUGUUUGGUUUUCGGACUGAGUGACUAAGCGAAAGUGAUAAGUAUCCCACCUGGGGAGUACGUUCGCAAGAAUGAAACUCAAAGGAAUUGACGGGGGCCCGCACNAGCGGUGGAGCAUGUGGUUUAAUUCGAUGAUACGCGAGGAACCUUACCAGGGCUUAAAUGUAGUCUGACAGCUUUAGAGAUAGAGUUUUCUUCGGACAGAUUACAAGGUGCUGCAUGGUUGUCGUCAGCUCGUGCCGUGAGGUGUCAGGUUAAGUCCUAUAACGAGCGCAACCCCUGUGGUUAGUUGCCAGCGAGUAAUGUCGGGAACUCUAGCCAGACUGCCGGUGCAAACCGUGAGGAAGGUGGGGAUGACGUCAAAUCAUCACGGCCCUUACGUCCUGGGCCACACACGUGCUACAAUGGUAGGGACAGAGAGCAGCCACUUAGCGAUAAGGAGCGAAUCUAUAAACCCUAUCUCAGUUCGGAUUGGAGUCUGCAACUCGACUCCAUGAAGCUGGAAUCGCUAGUAAUCGGAUAUCAGCCAUGAUCCGGUGAAUACGUUCCCGGGCCUUGUACACACCGCCCGUCAAGCCAUGGAAGCUGGGGGUACCUGAAGUCCGUCACCGUAAGGAG
rnacentral:rRNA from 1 species